rnacentral:rRNA from 1 species
UACGGGGGGGCAAGCGUUGUUCGGAAUUACUGGGCGUAAAGGGCUCGUAGGCGGCCAACUAAGUCAGACGUGAAAUCCCUAGGCUCAACCUAGGAACUGCGUCUGAUACUGGAUGGCUUGAAUCCGGGAGAGGGAUGCAGAAUUCCAGGUGUAGCGGUGAAAUGCGUAGAUAUCUGGAGGAAUACCGGUGGCGAAGGCGGCAUCCUGGACCGGCAUUGACGCUGAGGAGCGAAAGCCAGGGGAGCAAAGCGGGG